GACCAGACUCCUACGGGAGGCAGCAGUGGGGAAUAUUGCACAAUGGGGGAAACCCUGAUGCAGCGACGCCGCGCGAGCGAUGAAGUAUUUCGGUAUGUAAAGCUCUAUCAGCAGGGAAGAAAAUGACGGUACCUGACUAAGAAGCCCCGGCUAACUACGUGCCAGCAGCCGCGGUAAUACGUAGGGGGCAAGCGUUAUCCGGAUUUACUGGGUGUAAAGGGAGCGUAGACGGCGGCGCAAGCCAGAUGUGAAAGCCCGGGGCUCAACCCCGGGACUGCAUUUGGAACUGUGCCGCCAGAGUGUCGGAGAGGCAGGCGGAAUUCCUAGUGUAGCGGUGAAAUGCGUAGAUAUUAGGAGGAACACCAGUGGCGAAGGCGGCCUGCUGGACGAUGACUGACGUUGAGGCUCGAAAGCGUGGGGAGCAAACAGGAUUAGAUACCCGCGUA
rnacentral:rRNA from 1 species